rnacentral:rRNA from 1 species
GACGAACGCUGGCGGCGUGCUUAACACAUGCAAGUCGAACGCUGAAGCUUGGUGCUUGCACUGGGUGGAUGAGUGGCGAACGGGUGAGUAAUACGUGAGUAACCUGCCCUUGACUCUGGGAUAAGCCUGGGAAACUGGGUCUAAUACUGGAUACGACAUGUCACCGCAUGGUGGUGUGUGGAAAGGGUUUUACUGGUUUUGGAUGGGCUCACGGCCUAUCAGCUUGUUGGUGGGGUAAUGGCUCACCAAGGCGACGACGGGUAGCCGGCCUGAGAGGGUGACCGGCCACACUGGGACUGAAACACGGCCCAGACUCCUACGGGAGGCAGCAGUGGGGAAUAUUGCACAAUGGGCGGAAGCCUGAUGCAGCGACGCCGCGUGAGGGAUGACGGCCUUCGGGUUGUAAACCUCUUUCAGCACGGAAGAAGCGAAAGUGACGGUACGUGCAGAAGAAGCGCCGGCUAACUACGUG